UCUCCCUUCCCCGCAGGUGUAGCCUGUCAUGUUUCAGGUUCUGCUAUGAGUUAUAAAUAGUUGGCAACUAAUUGUAUUGGCUGCAUGACAGCGAGCAGAGAAAUCAGAGUUAGUGCCUGGGCCUUACAUGACAGAAAUUUAUACAAACAAAAUUCCCACUGGUUCAGCAGGACUGACCAGUACAGACAAGGCAGCUCUGGUGUUUUUUAAUCAGUGUUAGUCAAUGAAACCUGCUUUACAGCAGGUUUAACUACCAUGAUCAUAAAACUUGGUUCAGCUGCAGAAGUCUUGUAUGUAUUAUGACUCCCCUCAGUUCAACUGAACUAGAGGUAGAACUGGUGGAAUUUUUUUUUUGGUAAGUUUCCCUGCUAUAGCUAAAGCCUCUAAGGUCAUCUUGUUACCAUAGCCUUUACUUAGCUGGAGUUUCCUGAGGACCUUUGGGCAUAGCAAGGAGAAGACCAUGAUGUUUAUAUAACUAAGUGACUCAAAAACGACACCUACAGAAAUGCGGCCACCACUGGGGCAGAGGAGAGCAGCUGAGAGGAGGAUAUUUUGGCAGAGAACAUAUCCUGCCAAACUCACCCCCUGGAACUUCUUAUAGAGUAUAUCUGCUGUCCACAAGUAGCAAAGUGUUGGGGUUUAUAAGUUUGUAUCAGGAGACAAGCUAUGCAUGUGUUUGCUUCCAUGGUGGUGAGCCCCAUGUCUAGAAAUUGGACAUAUGGCAUGAUUCCUAAUGCCAACCUCCUGUUUGCAUGGAACAUGGAAGAAAGCAAUUCUCCAUACCUGAGGCUUCUUCCUGGGUCGUCCCCGUCCUCUCUUCUCAGACACGUCCUCCUCCUGUUUGGAAGCCAAGGGCUGGCUGGAUUUUGCACUAGAUUCACUCAUCGUCUUUCUUCCAGAGGACAAAAGAAGAAGAAGAAAGGGCAGAGGAGUGUAAAGGCACACUUGGACAGAGCUACCAGGAAAAGAGCAAGAUGCAUGAGGGCUAUGGAACAGUCUCCCCAUGGAAAGUGGCAGGAGCCCCAUUGCUUAGGGAACUUAAAAGCAGCUGCACAGAGUACUCCACCAGGGAAUAAUCCUGCUUUGGUAGGAGAUGGUCAAGCAUCCAGAGGCCCCAGAGGCAGAGAUCAGGGCCCCAUUGUGCUGAGCACUGUCUGCUGCCAUGGGAGAAGACGGUCGCUGCUCUACAGACUUUACAGCCUAAAUAGGCAAGACUGACAAAGGAAGGAUUAGUACCCUCAUUUUACAGAUGCGGAACAGAGGCAGUUGGAGAUUGGCUCAGGGUCGUAUGGAAAGGAAUUUCUACUGCACAGCCAACAGAGGGAAGCACAGAAUUUUGUUUUUCAGUGGGUCCUACAAAAUAGUAGCUAUGUUUUGAAACUGGCGAUUAAAAAAAAAAAGAAUAUUCAAGGGGAAAUUCUAUUCUUGGAUAAACUGGUGCCAGUCUGGAGUCAUUCUGAUGGAACUACUUGGAUGUGAAUGAGCAGAACUUGGCUUUAAGAAUCUAGCAGAUUCCCCCCCCCCCCCCCCCCGUUGGUUUAUUAAAGUAGGUGAAGUUUUGAGUCGCUCUUUAAAGCUGGCAAUGUUGUGUAGCCUUACAUAAUGGAACGGAAACUGGAGGCGAUGCAUUUUAUGUGAGUGUUCCAUACUUUGAUCCAGCUUUCGUAUCAAACACUGUAGCUAAUGAGUGAAUGUGGGCACAGACACAGAGCAAUCCUGAUCAUUUUCCUAUUCCAUUUAUCCCCAACAGAAGAGGGGGAAAAGGCUGGUGCUCCAAGACAGGCGAAAGUGAGAGUUAGACCUGGGAGGCAGAGGACCCUUCAGGGGCCCUGUUUAAAUGGACAGUUUUAAGGAGGUCUUUCACCGCUGCACUAACAGUGUAACUCAACUGGUUCUAAUGCCAGUGGAAGCGUUAGACCGAAUGCUGGCAGUUUUAUAUGACUGUAUUGUCUAGAAGAUCUACUCUGAGCAGGCAGGGCAUGGUGGUAAAAAUGACUUAGCCCUGUGCAUACUAGCACCCCACACUGUAGAUCCCGCUGGUGGAACGGCACCAACACUAGUGCAACAGUGAGAGAUUGCUCUAAAAUUGUUGGGUAGAUGCAACAUAGGAGGGUUUGUGGGGUAUGCUGCUGUCAAGAUGACAGGGCUGUCUGCCCUUGUGUCCCCUUCCUGGUCUCUCUGAGUGCAUACCUUCGGGUAUCGGGCCUUGUGCCAUUCUCUCUCCUGGGGUGGAACAUCACAGUUCUCCCACUCGUAGACCGAGCCUUGGGCUACAACACCCAGUGUAUCAACCGGGCUUACCCAGCAGGUCCAACUGCGUUUGGCACCUGUGGUUCUUCCCUUCGGGAGUCUGUGACCAGUGGUGACCAACGUAUUGUUGAAUUUCAACAGUAGGAACGCAGCAUUUAGAGAAACAAGAUUUUAAAACAACACACCAUCUACACACACGUCUAUCUCACUUAAAGCCCUGCCAUCCUGUGAUGCUGACCUAAGCAAGCCUAGCUUCUUCGGACACCCACCAGGUGUCUGUGAGUCUGAACAGCUUCCCAACAACUGCCUCUCCUGGAAAAGAGAGUUCUUUCUUCUCCAGUGACAGUCCCAUCUUCUGGUUAUCACCCCUGGCUCCACACGGCAAAACAAGUUUUGCAACUUGGCUAGAGGCAGGAGAUAGAAUCUUCACAGCUAAUAUCUUGGGUAUUGUCUCUUAACACCAAAGUGUUUACUGGGAGUGGAGAUGGCUUCCCUUGAAUCGUUUUUCUUUCUACAGUAAAAUUCCCAAUAACCUGGCCAACUCCCAGUAUUCCUGAACUUUUAUGGAGCAGCUCCUCUUCCAUUGCAACUGACAAAGCUAUUGUUCAUUUAUUACUAGUAAUAUUGUAUUUUUAUAUAGCACUAAUGGGGAUCUGUGUGUGUGUAUUUAUAGACCCAGGUUAGCUAGUUGGCUAUCAUUUAUGAAAGAUUUUCCAAACUAACUAGUGGUUUGGAGUGCCCAGCCUGAGACAUUAAAGGAGCCUAGUUUUCAGAGGGACGGGUGCUCUGCAGUUUCUAAAAAACUAGUUGGUUUUAAAAAUCUUAGCUGUGUAUAUUCCAGUGGAUAUACUGUGUCGAUAUACAGUGGAUCAUUCAUCCAUCAUUAAAACGCAGCCGCCUCUGGGUUGGAAUGUGGCAGCUGCUCUGGGUUUGCAACACGAAACAAAAAUGAAGAAUGUACCAUAUUCAGUUCAGAUGACGGAGAGAAUUUAGGGAGGCAGAAUUGUUGCAAUCCUGUUGAGCAUCACUUGGAAGACUACAGCUCCACUCUCCCCUUCUUGGUGAUUAAGGCAGAUAUUUGCAAAGAUGCAUAGGGGAUUUUGCACUGUUGAGGGGCUAUUGAUACAUUAUGAUUGAUAUCGAUUGAUAGCUAUUAAUAUUACACCCCCCAAAAGCUACAUAGAUGACUUGGCAACAACUGCAGGCCACGCAGGGCUCAAAUGUAGUUAAGCCAAAACACACAUCCUUGAAAUUCACACAUCAAGCCGUAACAUCAUAUUAGAAGGCGAAAGCAUCAAUAAAGUAGAACAGCGUUUACCUGGGCAGCACCAUACUAGCCAGCAGAGAUCUCAAAAAAGAAGUGAUGCCAAGGCUAGGAAAGACAGUCCCAGUAUUCACUAAACUCUACAAUGCAUGAAACCACAGAUCUAUAAUACCAAGAGAUAAAAUGGAGAAUUUUCGGUGUAGCUGUAACUUCAGUGCCAACCCAUGGUUGUGACCACUGGAGAGCUAUUAAAAUAUUAGAUAGAAAGUUAGACGUGUGUGGAAAAUAAGUGCCCGUGAUUCUGGGCAUUGGCUGGAGAUACUUUGCCACCACCGAAGAGAUCUGAGGAAUCACCAACCGGCAGCUCAUCUCCAUCACAAUUAGAAGGACACAGUUGGGACAUAUACUCCUGAGGCCAGCACACAAAUUCCCACAUGAAGCUGUCAAGUGGAAACCAACUGGUGUGAGGAAACAAGGGUGCCCAAGAGAAACCUUACGAAGUACCCUUAGCAGGAAGGGCAGAACAGUCGAUCUCAGCACAGAGA